GCAAACUUGGUCAUUUAGAGGAAGUAAAAGUCGUAACAAGGUCUCCGUUGGUGAACCAGCGGAGGGAUCAUUACAGAGUUUAUCCAAACUCCCAAACCCAUGUGAACAUACCUUUUGUUGCCUCGGCAGUGGUGUCUCUUCCCCGUCCGCGGGGAUGGGGGCAGCCUGCCGGUGGACCACACCAAAACUCUUGUUGUUACAGUGUCAUUCUGAAUUUAAAAACUUAAUCAGUUAAAACUUUCAACAACGGAUCUCUUGGUUCUGGCAUCGAUGAAGAACGCAGC
rnacentral:misc_RNA from 1 species